rnacentral:rRNA from 1 species
GAUGAACGCUGGCGGCGUGCUUAACACAUGCAAGUCGAACGGGAAUUAUUUUAUUGAAACUUCGGUCGAUUUAAUUUACUUCUAGUGGCGGACGGGUGAGUAACGCGUGGGUAACCUGCCUUAUACAGGGGGAUAACAGUCAGAAAUGGCUGCUAAUACCGCAUAAGCGCACAGAGCUGCAUGGCUCAGUGUGAAAAACUCCGGUGGUAUAAGAUGGACCCGCGUUGGAUUAGCUGGUUGGGGGGGUAACGGCCCACCAAGGCGACGAUCCAUAGCCGGCCUGAGAGGGUGAACGGCCACAUUGGGACUGAGACACGGCCCAGACUCCUACGGGAGGCAGCAGUGGGGAAUAUUGCACAAUGGGGGAAACCCUGAUGCAGCGACGCCGCGUGAAGGAAGAAGUAUCUCGGUAUGUAAACUUCUAUCAGCAGGGAAGAUAGUGACGGUACCUGACUAAGAAGCCCCGGCUAACUACGUG